rnacentral:rRNA from 1 species
GACGUAGGGCGCGAGCGUUGUCCGGAUUUAUUGGGCGUAAAGAGCUCGUCGGCGGCUUGUCGCGUCGUCCGUGAAAACCUGCAGCUCAACUGCAGGCUUGCGGUCGAUACGGGCAGGCUAGAGUUCGGUAGGGGAGACUGGAAUUCCUGGUGUAGCGGUGAAAUGCGCAGAUAUCAGGAGGAACACCGGUGGCGAAGGCGGGUCGCUGGGCCGAUACUGACGCUGAGGAGCGAAAGCGUGGGGAGCGAACAGG